rnacentral:rRNA from 1 species
GACGAACGCUGGCGGCGUGCUUAACACAUGCAAGUCGAACGGAAAGGCCCCCACCUUGGUGGGGGUGCUCGAGUGGCGAACGGGUGAGUAACACGUGGGUGAUCUGCCCUGUACUUCGGGAUAAGCUUGGGAAACUGGGUCUAAUACCGGAUAGGACCAUGGUUUAGUGUCUCAUGGUGGAAAAAUUAUUGUUUUGGUGCAGGAUGAGCUCGCGGCCUAUCAGCUUGUUGGUGGGGUAAUGGCCUACCAAGGCGUCGACGGGUAGCCGGCCUGAGAGGGUGGACGGCCACAUUGGGACUGAGAUACGGCCCAGACUCCUACGGGAGGCAGCAGUGGGGAAUAUUGCACAAUGGGCGCAAGCCUGAUGCAGCGACGCCGCGUGGGGGAUGACGGCCUUCGGGUUGUAAACUCCUUUCGUUAGGGACGAAGCCACACCUUUUUGGGGUGUGGUGACGGUACCUUUGUUAAGAAGCACCGGCUAACUACGUG